rnacentral:rRNA from 1 species
UGCAAGUCGAGCGACAGAUGAGAAGCUUGCUUCUCUGAUGUUAGCGGCGGACGGGUGAGUAACACGUGGGUAACCUACCUAUAAGACUGGGAUAACUCCGGGAAACCGGGGCUAAUACCGGAUAAUAUUUUGAACCGCAUGGUUCAAUAGUGAAAGACGGUUUCGGCUGUCACUUAUAGAUGGACCCGCGCCGUAUUAGCUAGUUGGUAAGGUAACGGCUUACCAAGGCGACGAUACGUAGCCGACCUGAGAGGGUGAUCGGCCACACUGGAACUGAGACACGGUCCAGACUCCUACGGGAGGCAGCAGUAGGGAAUCUUCCGCAAUGGGCGAAAGCCUGACGGAGCAACGCCGCGUGAGUGAUGAAGGUCUUCGGAUCGUAAAACUCUGUUGUUAGGGAAGAACAAAUUUGUUAGUAACUGAACAAGUCUUGACGGUACCUAACCAGAAAGCCACGGCUAACUACGUGCCAGCAGCCGCGGUAAUACGUAGGUGGCAAGCGUUAUCCGGAAUUAUUGGGCGUAAAGCGCGCGUAGGCGGUUUCUUAAGUCUGAUGUGAAAGCCCACGGCUCAACCGUGGAGGGUCAUUGGAAACUGGGAAACUUGAGUGCAGAAGAGGAGAGUGGAAUUCCAUGUGUAGCGGUGAAAUGCGCAGAGAUAUGGAGGAACACCAGUGGCGAAGGCGGCUCUCUGGUCUGUAACUGACGCUGAUGUGCGAAAGCGUGGGGAUCAAACAGGAUUAGAUACCCUGGUAGUCCACGCCGUAAACGAUGAGUGCUAAUGGUUAGGGGGGUUUCCGCCCCUUAGUGCUGCAGCUAACGCAUUAAGCACUCCGCCCGGGGGAGUACGACCGCAAGGUUGAAACUCAAAGGAAUUGACGGGGACCCGCACAAGCGGUGGAACCAUGGUGGUUUAAUUCGAAGCAACGCGAAGAACCUUACCAAAUCUUGACAUCCUUUGACCGCUCUAGAAGAUAGAGUCUU